AGACAGAUCUGCUUAUAGACUUCCACUGUCAAAGGGAAUAUGCUACAUUUGAAGAAAAAAAAUGAACAGGUUCUUCCAACAUUUCAACUCUACUCUUGAAUUGCUAUGUUGUAAAACAAAAAUGUUCUGAUAGCAAAGAUUAUUCUGAAAGGUGGAUCAAGACGGGAGAAAAGGAGACGGGAGAGCAGCAAUGUUUAACUGAAGUAAUAAAAGAGUUUCAAUGUAAACAACACAUGGAAUAAAGAACUUUGGGGCACAAUGGUCAUUGACAUCAAUAUGGCAGGGAGGUGGGGAGCAAUGCAAGGAAUAUCAGGCAAGCCAGACGUUUCAGGAAAUAAAUGGAAGAAGGCGUAUUUCUUUACGGGAAUGAAGACGGAUGGCUUUCUGCGUUUAGUCCGCAAAGAAUGCCUACGUUGAAAGAACGAACUGAAUAACCACCAUAUGAAGCCCACAUGGAACAAAGCAUGAAAAGCAUGUAAUAAUCUUUUUGACUGGGAACAAAGUCACAGGCCUUGCGUUACAGCUGCAAACACUCGGGCCAGAACUCCAACCCCAGCUCAACCCACCCCCGGGGGGGAGGGAGCAGAGGAAGUGUUCAACACCAGCCGCCAAACCUUACAGACACAUCGACUCUCCG